CAGGCUUAACACAUGCAAGUCGAGGGGCAUCAGGAAGAAAGCUUGCUUUCUUUGCUGGCGACCGGCGCACGGGUGAGUAACACGUAUCCAACCUGCCCUUUACUCGGGGAUAGCCUUUCGAAAGAAAGAUUAAUACCCGAUGGCAUAAUGAUUCCGCAUGGUUUCAUUAUUAAAGGAUUCCGGUAAAGGAUGGGGAUGCGUUCCAUUAGGUUGUUGGUGAGGUAACGGCUCACCAAGCCUUCGAUGGAUAGGGGUUCUGAGAGGAAGGUCCCCCACAUUGGAACUGAGACACGGUCCAAACUCCUACGGGAGGCAGCAGUGAGGAAUAUUGGUCAAUGGGCGCUAGCCUGAACCAGCCAAGUAGCGUGAAGGAUGAAGGCUCUAUGGGUCGUAAACUUCUUUUAUAUAAGAAUAAAGUGCAGUAUGUAUACUGUUUUGUAUGUAUUAUAUGAAUAAGGAUCGGCUAACUCCGUGCCAGCAGCCGCGGUAAUACGGAGGAUCCGAGCGUUAUCCGGAUUUAUUGGGUUUAAAGGGAGCGUAGGUGGACUGGUAAGUCAGUUGUGAAAGUUUGCGGCUCAACCGUAAAAUUGCAGUUGAUACUGUCAGUCUUGAGUACAGUAGAGGUGGGCGGAAUUCGUGGUGUAGCGGUGAAAUGCUUAGAUAUCACGAAGAACUCCGAUUGCGAAGGCAGCUCACUGGACUGCAACUGACACUGAUGCUCGAAAGUGUGGGUAUCAAACAGGAUUAGAUACCCUGGUAGUCCACACAGUAAACGAUGAAUACUCGCUGUUUGCGAUAUACAGUAAGCGGCCAAGCGAAAGCAUUAAGUAUUCCACCUGGGGAGUACGCCGGCAACGGUGAAACUCAAAGGAAUUGACGGGGGCCCGCACAAGCGGAGGAACAUGUGGUUUAAUUCGAUGAUACGCGAGGAACCUUACCCGGGCUUAAAUUGCAGUGGAAUGAUGUGGAAACAUGUCAGUGAGCAAUCACCGCUGUGAAGGUGCUGCAUGGUUGUCGUCAGCUCGUGCCGUGAGGUGUCGGCUUAAGUGCCAUAACGAGCGCAACCCUUAUCUUUAGUUACUAACAGGUUAUGCUGAGGACUCUAGAGAGACUGCCGUCGUAAGAUGUGAGGAAGGUGGGGAUGACGUCAAAUCAGCACGGCCCUUACGUCCGGGGCUACACACGUGUUACAAUGGGGGGUACAGAAGGCAGCUAGCGGGUGACCGUAUGCUAAUCCCAAAAGCCUCUCUCAGUUCGGAUCGAAGUCUGCAACCCGACUUCGUGAAGCUGGAUUCGCUAGUAAUCGCGCAUCAGCCACGGCGCGGUGAAUACGUUCCCGGGCCUUGUACACACCGCCCGUCAAGCCAUGGGAGCCGGGGGUACCUGAAGUACGUAACCGCAAGGAUCGUCCUAGGGUAAAACUGGUGACUGGGG
rnacentral:rRNA from 1 species